rnacentral:rRNA from 1 species
UACGUAGGGACCAAGCGUUGUUCGGAUUUACUGGGCGUAAAGGGCGCGUAGGCGGCAAUUCAAGUCAGCUGUGAAAUCUCCGGGCUUAACUCGGAACGGUCAAGUGAUACUGUCGGACUAGAGUACAGAAGGGGGCAACUGGAAUUCUCGGUGUAGCGGUGAAAUGCGUAGAUAUCGAGAGGAACACCUGCGGCGAAGGCGGGUUGCUGGGCUGAUACUGACGCUGAGGCGCGAAAGCCAGGGGAGCGAACGGG